AUUGAACGCUGGCGGCAUGCCUUACACAUGCAAGUCGAACGGCAGCACGGGAGCAAUCCUGGUGGCGAGUGGCGAACGGGUGAGUAAUGUAUCGGAACGUGCCCAGUCGUGGGGGAUAACGUAGCGAAAGCUACGCUAAUACCGCAUACGAUCUAUGGAUGAAAGCGGGGGAUCGCAAGACCUCGCGCGAUUGGAGCGGCCGAUAUCAGAUUAGGUAGUUGGUGGGGUAAAGGCCCACCAAGCCUGCGAUCUGUAGCUGGUCUGAGAGGACGACCGGCCACACUGGAACUGAGACACGGUCCAGACUCCUACGGGGGGCAGCAGUGGGGAAUUUUGGACAAUGGGCGCAAGCCUGAUCCAGCAAUGCCGCGUGCAGGAUGAAGGCCUUCGGGUUGUAAACUGCUUUUGUACGGAACGAAACGGCUUUUUCUAAUACAGAGAGCUAAUGACGGUACCGUAAGAAUAAGCACCGGCUAACUACGUGCCAGCCGCCGCCGUAA
rnacentral:rRNA from 1 species